rnacentral:rRNA from 1 species
CCUACGGGUGGCAGCAGUGAGGAAUAUUGGUCAAUGGACGAGAGUCUGAACCAGCCAAGUAGCGUGAAGGAUGACUGCCCUAUGGGUUGUAAACUUCUUUUAUAUGGGAAUAAAAUGUUCCACGUGUGGGAUUUUGUAUGUACCAUAUGAAUAAGGAUCGGCUAACUCCGUGCCAGCAGCCGCGGUAAUACGGAGGAUCCGAGCGUUAUCCGGAUUUAUUGGGUUUAAAGGGAGCGUAGGUGGAUUGUUAAGUCAGUUGUGAAAGUUUGCGGCUCAACCGUAAAAUUGCAGUUGAAACUGGCAGUCUUGAGUACAGGAGAGGUGGGCGGAAUUCGUGGUGUAGCGGUGAAAUGCUUAGAUAUCACGAAGAACUCCGAUUGCGAAGGCGGCGCACUGGACUGCAACUGACACUGAGGCGCGAAAGUGUGGGUAGCAAACAGGAUUAGAUACCCCAGUAGUC